rnacentral:rRNA from 1 species
GGCAGUAGACUAUAGUUAUGAAAUAUUAUUCAAGUUGUUUUAUAUCUAGUUCUCUAAAAGAUUUAAUUGGUUGUAGAUUUAUUAGGUCAAUAGGUAGGGAUUAGCUUAUUUAUUGUUUAUAUGCAUUUAUUGGGUAAAUUUGUUCGUGAAGUUGAUAGUGCUUAAUUUUAAGGAGUUAUUAUAAGACAGGGGGUUUAUAUUAUUGUUUUGAUGUUGUGUGAUUAUUGGGGUUAGUUAGUUAAUUUUUUCUUUUAUGAAAUAAUGAUUAUAUUAGUAAUAUUUUAUUUGGUUUGAAGAAGUGUGGGUUUGGAAAAUUGAUAAUAGUAAAGUUAGUUUUUAAUUAGGGUAGACGAAUUCGGCAAGGUUAAUUUUUGACUGUUUAGCAAAAACAUUGUUUUUUGUAGGAGAUAAAAAAUAAGUUCUGCCCACUGCUAUUGGGUGAAGGGCUGCAGUAUUUUGACUGUAUGAAGGUAGCAUAAUCAUUAGCUCUUUAAUUGGGGGCUGGUAUGAAGGUGAAACAGAGAUUGUCUGUAUUUACUUUAUUUAUUGAAUUUUAUUUCUGUGUGAAAAAUCAUAGUUGAAUUAGAGGGACAAGAAGACCCUAAUAAGUUUUAUUUUUUUAUUUAAUGAUAAUAUAGGUGUUUAUUUAUUUGAUUGGAGUGGAGGGGUUUAGCUGGGGCGGCUAUUUAUUUAACAUAAGUAAUUUUUUAACUUUAUUUGGCGGUAGAUGAGACCUAA